UUAAAUAGAAUAAGUUUUAAAAAUUUCAAUAAAUAAUUGUUUGGUUUAAUAGAUAAUAACCCAUGUAAAAUAUGCAAUAAAGAAAUAAAAAGAUAAUUGUACAAUGAAAAUGUCAUCACACAUACUAAAUAUUGUCUAAUCAAUACUUGGAAAACAUAAAUAAAAAUUUAGCACAAAUUACUUUUCCCACUUCAAAAUUUAGGCAAAUUUAAAGGAGAUUAUGUAUUCAACGAAGCUAGUUUCAAUGAUCUAACCUUCAAACUUGUUUGUAGAUACUACAAGAUCGCAUAAGUAAAAAAUCGUAAAAAAAAAACAUUCAAAGAUUAGGUAAGGGAACAAAAGUUUUCAACGGUUAUAAACGAAAAAUCAUAAUUUAACGGUUAUUUUAGCUCCGAUUUUGAUGAUUUUUUUACAACUACACUCCUCGACCCUCUAAGAAUGCAAUGAACGAAUUCGAUCUUCAAUUAAAAAUAUUUACACUAGUGGAUACCACAUCUUAUUUUAUACUUAAUGGAAGUAUAAUAUUAACUCUAAGUGUUUUUUUAAUCUACCGUUUUGAAGCGAUAUGCAUUAUACGAAACUUUUUUCAACGAUUCAACCGUCAAACUUAUUUGUACACACUUUGAGAUUGCAAACGUAAAAAAUCGUAAAAAGCAAACAUUCAGAUAUUAGGUAACGGAACAAAAGUUUUCAACAGUUAUAAACGAAAAAUCACAAUUUAACGAUUAUUUUAGCUCCAAUUUUAAUGAUUUUUUACACCUACACUCCUCGACCCGAUUAAAUUUGAUCUUCAAUUUAAAAUAUUUACACUAGUGGAUACCACAAAAUCUUAUUUUAUACUUAAUGGAUGCAUAACAAUAAGUGUUUAUUUAAUCUACCGUUUUGACGCGAUACACAUUCUACGAAACUUUUUUCAAUGAUCUAACCGUCAAACUUGUUUGUACACACUCCGAGAUCGCAUACAUAAAAAAUCACAAAAAACAAACAUUCAAAGAUUACGUAACAAAACAAAAGUUUUUUACGGUUAUAAACGAAAAAUUAAUUUAACGAUUAUUUUAGCUCCAAUUUUGAUGAUUUUUUACAGCUACACUCCUCGACCCUAUAAGAAUGCAGUGAACGAAUUCGAUCUUUAAUUUAAAAUAUUUACACUAUUGGAUACCACAAAAUCAUAUUUUAUACUUGAUGGGGAAGAAUAGCAUUAACUCUAAGUGUUUGUUUAAUCUACCAUUUUGAUGCGAUACACAUUCUACGAAACGUUUUUCAACGAUCCAACCGUCAAAAUUGUUUGUACACACUCUGAGAACACAUACGUAAAAAAUCGCAAAAAACAAACAUUCAGAGAUUAGGUAACGGAACAAAAGUUUUCGAUGGUUAUAAACGAAAAAUCAUAAUUUAACGGUUAUUUUAGCUCCGAUUUUGAUGAUUUUUUAACAGCUACACUCCUCGACCCUAUAAGAAUGCAAUGAAUGACUUUGAUCUUCAAUUUAAAAUAUUUACACCAGUGGAUAAAUCUUAUUUUAUACUUAAUGAAAGUAUAACAUUAACUCUUAAGUGUUUGUUAAAUCUAUCAAUUUGAUAGGAUAUGCAUUCUACAAAACUAGUUUCAACGAUCCAACCGUCAAAUAUGUUUGUAUAUACCCCGAGAUAGUAUGUGUAAAAAAUCGCAAAAAAAAAAAAACAUUCAGAGAUUAUUCUAGCGGCCGUCCAAAAUUUUGCUUUGUUCGUGUCAGUUAAAUUCGACAGGGCCAUGAGUGAAAAAAAAUAUUUAAUGUGUUUAUUUAUUUUUAAUCAAUAUAAGAGUACACCAUGUUGUUAUUAUUCUUUCAGAAAAUUUAUGGCCCGUGGGAAUUGGGUUCAUUAGACUUUAGGGUCAUGAGUGAAAAAAAAUAUAUUUAAAAUAUGUAUUUAUUUAUUUAUUUUUAAUCAAUAUAACAUUUUAAAAUAAUAAAAUUUUCAUUUCUGUCGGUUAUAACCGUCAAAAUACUAAAAUAAUAACCGCCAGAAAGUUAAAUAAUAAAAUAGUCAAUUUAUGUCGGUUAUAACCACCACCAUUAACUUAAAAA
rnacentral:lncRNA from 1 species